AACUUUUGACAACGGAUCUCUUGGUUCUCCCAUCGAUGAAGAACGCAGCGAAAUGCGAUAAGUAAUGUGAAUUGCAGAAUUCAGUGAAUCAUCGAAUCUUUGAACGCACCUUGCGCUCCUUGGUAUUCCGAGGAGCAUGCCUGUUUGAGUGUCAU
rnacentral:rRNA from 1 species